ensembl:ncRNA W07E11.5 ncRNA
UCGAGAAUUUAAAAUGUCCUAAAUCUAUGAAAUUCUAGAACAUUUCUGUAGUAAGAUUAGACACAUUGACCAU